GACGAACGCUGGCGGCGUGCUUAACACAUGCAAGUCGAACGGAAAGGCCCUGCUUUUGUGGGGUGCUCGAGUGGCGAACGGGUGAGUAACACGUGAGUAACCUGCCCUUGACUUUGGGAUAACUUCAGGAAACUGGGGCUAAUACCGGAUAGGAGCUCCUGCUGCAUGGUGGGGGUUGGAAAGUUUCGGCGGUUGGGGAUAGAUUCGCGGCUUAUCAGCUUGUUGGUGGGGUAGUGGCUUACCAAGGCUUUGACGGGUAGCCGGCCUGAGAGGGUGACCGGCCACAAUGGGACUGAGAGACGGCCCAGUCGCCUACGGGAGGCAGCAGUGGGGAGUAUGGCGCAGUGGGCGGGAGCCUGAGGCGGCAGCGCCGCGUGCGGGAUGACGGCCUUCGGGUUGAAAACCGCUUUCGCCUGUGACGAAGCGUGAGUGACGGUAAUGGGUAAAGAAGCACCGGCUAACUACGUG
rnacentral:rRNA from 1 species